CUAAACAACUAGUCUUGUGUGCGUAUACACACUGCACCCAUGUAUGUGUACGUACUCUGGUCUCAUAAAUAAUAGUUUUAUUAGCUGCAUUUAUGAUGUGAAAAGUUUACAAGAUUGGUUUGUUGUGUCUGAUCAGACGUUGUUUGAUCGACACAGAUCGAAAAAGCUAACUAACCGUCAGUUUUGGAUAUUAUCAUAUUAUCUUCGACCUAUUACGUACAUCGCUUAUAUUUUCACACAACUAUUUUCAAUUUGUUUCCCUAUAGAAUGUGAAAAUUUGUUUGUUACGGUCUAAAAACAGAAUAUUCCACAUUUUUCUUAUGACGAUAAAGAACCACUAAUAAUUUGACACGUCAGCCCUUAGACUCUUGAGGUUUUCUCUCUACUUCACCUAUCUACUUUCCUCAUCUCCGACUACUUUUCUCAUUCUUCUUCUGUUUCCUCUUCUCAAAUAAAAUAGAGAGAGAGAGAGAUAUCGAUAAGAUUAGAUCUAUGAUAUUGAUAUACCUCGAGUUAUUACUUUUCGCUUCUUGAAUCAUAGAUCCUAUUAGUUGAAUAAUAAUAUAUAUGUACUACAUCUCUAUCUCUUGUGUGAGUAGCUAGAUUUAAUUUAUACAAGUUUCUCGGCGCGCGGAUCCAUGGAAGAAAGCACAUCAGUCGUUGUUUGUGGGUGCAGCACCAUUAAGAUUCACAUGGAAAUUGAAAAAUCUCUUAAAAAUUAGGGUUUUCAUAUGUAUAUGAGAAUCUUGAUGAUGCUGCAUCAACAACCGACGGCUACAAAAUAUCUAUAGCCGGAGAAAGAAACUUGAAGAUAGUCGUCGUCUAAGUCUAAAUCUUUGGAUCAUAUGAUUUUGUUUUGUCAAUUCAUUCAAACCGGGUCCUAACAAUGCUAUGAUCAAGAACAACAAGAAGAUCGUGAAAACAGAUCGAAUAAUAACUAUAAAGUUCGUACACAGUCCAGACUAUUUGUAGUUUCUGUUUUACGACUGUCUUGUAGUAACAUUUAGUUGAUUAGGGUGUCACCUUCUAUUUCUGGGUUAUAACUUGAUCUUACAUUUUUUUUAUUGUUCUAAUUUCGUAAUUUUAGAAAUUUGGUUUUCAUGCCAAAUCAAAUCAAACAUUAUGGUGUGUUGUACAUUGUACCAGAACUUUGUUUUCAUGUGGCUCAUCUUGAGUAAUAUUUGUCUU